rnacentral:ncRNA from 1 species
GGGUUGCUGAAUUAGAGAUCGGCGCCUGUCUUAUUUAAUCUAUUAUUUGGAGUUGUAUUAUGUCUCUAAGUGUUGAAGCGAAAGCUAAAAUUGUUGCUGACUUCGGUCGUGG